rnacentral:rRNA from 1 species
GUCUACAGCCAAACCACCCUGCAUGUGCCCGAUCUCGUCGGAUCUCAGAAGCUAAGCAGGGUCGGGCCUGGUUAGAACUUGGUUGGGAGAAGUUCGGUUAUGGGACCCCUGAGCUUAGCUGUGUUCUAGACA